GGCGAGCGCGGGGGGCGGCGGAGCGCGGGGGCGCCCGGCCGGCGAGCGGCGCGGAUACUCAGAGAGCCGCCGCUGGGAUCCGCUGGGGCCGGCGCCCGAGCCUUGGACUGCGACCUUGCCGCCACCUCUUCCUCCCCUCCUCCCCUCCCAGUGACACCGCCGGACCGAGCGCCCAGCCGCGGGCCUGGGAGGCGCUCCCCGGGGCCGCAAGCCCGCGCGUGCGGCCGCCCCAGCGGGGAUCGCUGCACCGAGGAGUGAGGAGGCAAGGCGGGGAGAGGAGGAGGUGCAGAUGUUCCUUUCUCUAAGGACUUUGGGGUGUGGAGCUUAUGCCGUUUCAGCUGUGUUCCGGGAAGAAGCUCUAAGUGACAACCGUCCUGGUCCGGACCCAACUGCUCUGAACCGGCACAGAGCAGCACAAACCAGCAUAAACUGAAACCACAAGAGUGACAUCUACAUAAACAGGCAGAGAGUUGUGCUAAAGUAAUCUGCGCUCCUUAACAUGGAAAUUCCCCUGAUCUGGGGAGGGCAAAGCAGCCAUUCUUAGAUCAUGCAAUGUAUAUAUAAAAGCAUGAUUUCAAACCACACAUGUGCAAGCUUAUGCCCACCUCUGCACAUGAUGAUGAAAUUUCCCGUUGAACAUUCAUUCCCUACCCCAAAUAAAGGUACCCACGUCCCCGUGCUCAGGGAGCCAGAGCUUUGUGAAAUUAUUCCCUACGGUCUCCAUUGUCUUUGCUGCAUGCUACGAAUAAAAUUUCUGCUUUGUGACAGCUA